rnacentral:sRNA from 1 species
ACGGUCCGCAGCGGCAGGUGAAGCCUAGCAGAGGACGCGGCCAGGCGAUUCGGUGAAGCGAUUCCUGCAGGCGUUGGUUCCCCUCUUUGUCCUGGAUUUGAAUUUGUUGAAAUGAGCAGUCGUAAAUCAAAGAGUAACAGCUUAAUUCACACAGAGUGCCUUUCACAGGUACAAAGAAUUUUACGUGAAAGAUUUUGUCGUCAGAGUCCACAUAGUAACCUAUUUGGAGUGCAAGUACAAUACAAACACUUAAGUGAGCUGCUGAAAAGAACUGCUCUCCAUGGAGAGAGUAACUCUGUCCUUAUUAUCGGACCCCGAGGAUCAGGAAAAACUAUGUUAAUAAAUCAUGCUUUGAAAGAACUCAUGGAAAUAGAAGAAGUGAGUGAAAAUGUAUUACAAGUUCACUUAAAUGGUAAGUAUGCCAUUAUUUUGCCAUUGGAGAUUAUGUAAACUUUGUGGGGGUUUUAUAUGACUUGUAUAUUUCAAAUCCAUUUUAAUAGUUAGAUUUUGAAAACUAGAUCCAUGUUUUACUUAGCACACCAUAUGCAGUAUUUUUAGAAAUUAAAAUAAUAAUACUGAAGGAGCCGCAGAAGGACUCUGGUUUUUGUGGU